GCUUAUUGAACUGCAAUGUGCCCGCCCUUAGGGGGAAAGCUGAGAGAGCUUGCUGUUGGAUCCCUGAGCCACCUUGAGACUACCAUACUGGAGAGACCACAUGGAGGCUUCCUGCAGUCAAGAGUCCCACCUGAUCCUGAUGGCCCCCAGCAGCCUCAGGCCUGGCAAGGGAAAGUUGAGUGAAACCACCUUGGAAGUGGAUCCUCAGUCCCAGCUGUUCCCACCUCUAGCUUGUCUCAUCACUGCCCCCACCCCGCCCCAGCUGUUUGAAUCAUUCCCGCUGAGGUCCUGGCUGACACUGCAGAACAGAAAACAAUGACCCCUCUGUUCCCUUCCAAAGUCUUGGUCCACAAAAUCUGUGAGUGUAAUAAAAUUGUUGCUGC
rnacentral:lncRNA from 1 species